GACAGAGGGUGCAAACGUUGCUCGGAAUUACUGGGCGUAAAGCGCGUGUAGGUGGCUCUCCCAGUCGGGUGUGAAAGCCCAGGGCUCAACCCUGGAAGUGCACUCGAUACUAGAGAGCUGGAGUCUCGGAGAGGAUAGCGGAAUUCCCGGUGUAGAGGUGAAAUUCGUAGAUAUCGGGAGGAACACCAGUGGCGAAGGCGGCUAUCUGGACGAGUACUGACACUGAGACGCGAAGGCAUGGGGAGCAAACAGG
rnacentral:rRNA from 1 species